rnacentral:rRNA from 1 species
GAUGAACGCUAGCUACAGGCUUAACACAUGCAAGUCGCGGGGCAGCAUGGGGGUUGCUUGCAAUCCCCGAUGGCGACCGGCGCACGGGUGAGUAACGCGUAUCCAACCUGCCCUUCACCACGGGAUAACCCGGCGAAAGUCGGACUAAUACCGUAUGUCGUCCAUUGACGGCAUCCGAUUUGGACGAAAGGUUUGGCGGUGAAGGAGGGGGAUGCGUCCGAUUAGCUGGACGGCGGGGUGACGGCCCACCGUGGCGACGAUCGGUAGGGGUUCUGAGAGGAAGGUCCCCCACACGGGAACUGAGACACGGGCCAGACUCCUACGGGAGGAAGCAGUGAGGAAUAUUGGUCAAUGGGCGUAAGCCUGAACCAGCCAAGUAGCGUGCAGGAUGACGGCCCUAUGGGUUGUAAACUGCUUUUAUGCGGGGAUAAAGUGGCCCACGUGUGGGUUUUUGCAGGUACCGCAUGAAUAAGGACCGGCUAAUUCCGUG